rnacentral:misc_RNA from 1 species
ACAACAAAACUUCUUAGUGUGAAAAUUACAAUGUCGUCAUCUAAUUUUAGUAUCUUUUGUAUCGUUCUUAUUUUUCUAGCAAGUCUUCAUGAAUGUGAUUCUUUAAGAAAUCCUUUCAAAGAUGACCCGUUAAGAAAUCCUAUCACAAAUGAAAAAGUUAAAGAACCACCGUGCUAUCCAUAUGGAAAACAGUUUAAAUGCACAGGUUUUGCUGGAACUGUCGUUGUUGACACCGCCGAUCGGUGUUGGUCUUUCUGUGCAGCCGCUAAUAAACGUCCGUAGAACCCCAGCACCUCCUCCGAUCCAAAUGUUUGAAGAGCUUUUAAGUAUACCAACCAAAUGUUUUUAUAUGUUUACUCAUAUUAUUAAUCAAAAAUAUUUAUGUGACUUCACCCAAUACAAGCAUGCCUAGACUACCUUAGUUUGUGUUUAGUAACUUUGAAAAUCAUGUAAUAAUAUUUAUGCACAAUGUUAAACAUUUUUCUCGUU